GCAAGCUUGAGUCCCCACUCCCCAACAUGAUAUACCAUCAUUUAUCUCUUUAUGGUUACCUUUCUGAAAUAGAGAUCGAGGUCACUCCAGAAUACUCAUCUACUUCUGAAAUGUCUGAAGUAUAUGUUUUGGAAGGGUUUCCUAGCUCUCAAGAUGAAAUACAAGUGAAGCAAGCAACCAUGGCGCAAAGAAUGGAGCAAACCAAGCAAAGAUGUACACUGGAGUGUUUGGUCGGUCACUGUGACUGAAAAAUAGUAUGUGGGACUGAAAUAGUUGAAGAUACACUAAAGAUAUACAUGUGGGACUGAAAAAUAGUAUUACAGAAGGGCGUAUACUCUGAUGUUUCAAGUGGGAAGUUAUGCAGAAAAGAAGAUUCUACAUGCCAGAUGAUCCAGCGUUGGUAAAAAAAAAAUAUAUAAACUACACGGCAUUGUAUUCACUACAUUACUGACGACUCAGACUAUCUGUAUAAUCGAUUUGAAUAGAAUGAAAUUAAUUCAAAGAGCAAAAAAAAAA